rnacentral:rRNA from 1 species
UACGAAGGGGGCUAGCGUUGCUCGGAUUGACUGGGCGUAAAGGGCGCGUAGGCGGUUUGUACAGUCAGACGUGAAAUUCCUGGGCUCAACCUGGGGGCUGCGUUUGAUACGUGCGAGCUUGAGUUCGGAAGAGGGUCGUGGAAUUCCCAGUGUAGAGGUGAAAUUCGUAGAUAUUGGGAAGAACACCGGUGGCGAAGGCGGCGAGCUGGUCCAUUACUGACGCUGAGGCGCGACAGCGCGGGGAGCAAACAGG